GAUGAACGCUGGCGGCGUGCCUAAUACAUGCAAGUCGAGCGAACAGACGAGGAGCUUGCUCCUCUGACGUUAGCGGCGGACGGGUGAGUAACACGUGGAUAACCUACCUAUAAGACUGGGAUAACUUCGGGAAACCGGAGCUAAUACCGGAUAAUAUAUUGAACCGCAUGGUUCAAUAGUGAAAGACGGUUUUGCUGUCUCUUCUAGAUGGAUCCGCGCCGCAUUAGCUAGUUGGUAAGGUAACGGCUUACCAAGGCGACGAUGCGUAGCCGACCUGAGAGGGUGAUCGGCCACACUGGAACUGAGACACGGUCCAGACUCCUACGGGAGGCAGCAGUAGGGAAUCUUCCGCAAUGGGCGAAAGCCUGACGGAGCAACGCCGCGUGAGUGAUGAAGGUCUUCGGAUCGUAAAACUCUGUUAUUAGGGAAGAACAAAUGUGUAAGUAACUAUGCACGUCUUGACGGUACCUAAUCAGAAAGCCACGGCUAACUACGUG
rnacentral:rRNA from 1 species